CUUCGGAAGCGCAUGACUCGAACCCGGGACCGACUUGAUGGGAACGCGCAACUCGAACCCGUCACCCCAGAGGACUUCAUGGGCCUGUUGCCAGUGCAUGAUUCGAACCCAGCACUGCCGAGGACUUAAUGCGCCAGUUGGAAGCGCAUCACUCGAACCCGCAACCCACCACUGCCAAGGACUUCAUGCGCCAGUUGGAAGCGCGUCACUCGAACCCUCAACCCACCGCUGCCAAGGACUUCAUGCGCCAGUUGGAAGCGCAUGACUCGAACCCAGGACCGGCUUGAUGGGAGCGCGCAACUCGAACCCGUCACCCCAGAGGACUUCAUGUGCCUGUUGCCAGUGCGUGAUUCGAACCCAGCACUGCCGAGGACUUCAUGCGCCUGUUGGAAGCGCAUGACUCGAACCCGGGACCGAGGGCUUCUUGCGCCCGUUGGAAGCCUGCGACUUGAACCCGCCGCCGCCGAGGACUUCGUGCGCCUGUUGUGAGUGCGCAAGACUCGAACCCGCCGCUGCCGAGGACUUCAUGCGCCUGUUGUGAGUGCGCAAGACUCGAACCCGCCGCCGCCGAGGACUUCGUGCGCCUGUUGUCAGUGCGCAAGACUCGAACCCGCCGCCGCCGAGGACUUCAGGCAUCCAUGGACUUGAACCCGCGACUGCUGAGGACUUCGGCACCCUUUGGAAGAGCGUGACUCGAACCCGGGACCGAGGACUUCUGCGCACGUCGGAAGCACGACUCGAACCCGCCGCCAUCUACCCUCGCCAUCUACCUCUCUUGCUGCGCAGUGUUGCCUCUUUUGGGGGGCGGACCCCCCAUUGACUCCCCCAAAACAGCCCAUAUUCUGAGAUUUCCCACCCAGAUUCUGAGGUUUUGCCCCGUUUCGCCUCCCAGAUUCUGAGAUUUCCCAGCAAAUUCUGAGAUUUGCCCCCCAAAUUCUGAGAUUUCCCAGCAAAUUCUGAGAUUUGCCACCCAGAUUCUGAGAUUUCCCCCCGUUUCGCCCCCCAAAUUCUGAGAUUUGCCGCCCAAAUUCUGAGAUUUCCCCCCAAAUUCUGCCGUUUGCCCCCUGAAUUCUGACAUUUGCCGCCCAAAUUCUGAGUAUUCCCAGCAAAUUCUGAGAUUUGCCCCCAAAUUCUGAGAUUUCCCCCCAAAUUCUGAGAUUUGCCACCCAGAUUCUGAGAUUUCCCCCCGUCCCCCCCCAAAUUCUGAGAUUUGCCGCCCAAAUUCUGAGAUUUCCCCCCAAAUUCUGCCGUUUGCCCCCUGAAUUCUGACAUUUGCUGCCCAAAUUCUGAGUAUUCCCAGCAAAUUCUGAGAUUUGCCCCCCAAAUCCUGAGAUUUCCCCCCAAAUUCUGACAUUUGCCGCCCAAAUUCUGAGAUUUCCCCCCGUUUCCCCCCCAAAUUCUGAGAUUUGCCCCCAAAUUUUGAGAUUUGCCGCCCAAAUUCUGAGAUUUCCCCCCGUUUCCCCCCCCCAAAUUCUGAGAUUUCCCAGCAAAUUCUGACAUUUGCCGCCCAAAUUCUGAGAUUUCCCCCCGUUUCCCCCCCCAAAUUCUGAGAUUUCCCAGCAAAUUCUGAGGUUUGCCACCCAGAUUCUGAGAUUUCCCCCCGUUUUGCCCCCCAAAUCCUGAGAUUUCCCCCCAAAUUCUGAGAUUUGCCACCCAGAUUCUGAGAUUUCCCCCCGUUUUGCCCCCCAAAUCCUGAGAUUUCCCCCCAAAUUCUGACAUUUACCCCCCCAAUUCUAAGAUUUGCCCCCAAAUUCUGAGAUUUCCCCACAAAUUCUUACAUUUGCCACCCAGAUUCUGAGAUUUCCCCCCGUUUUGCCCCCCAAACUCUGAGAUUUCCCAGCAAAUUCUGACAUUUGCCCCCCCAAUUCUAAGAUUUGCCCCCGUUUUGCCCCCCAAUUUCUGACAUUUGCUGCCCAAAUUCCGACAUUUACCCACCAAUUCUAAGAUUUCCCCCCAAAUUCUGACAUUUGCCCCCCAAAUUCUGCAUUUCCCCCAUUUUGCCCCCUGAAUUCUGACAUUUGCUGCCCAAAUUCCGACAUUUACCCCCCAAUUCUAAGAUUUGCCCCCCAAUUCUGACAUUUGCCGCCAUUUUAUGGGGCAGAAACUCUUUAUGGGGUGGAAAAUACCAUUUAAUGUCUUCAAAUGGGGGAGAAAAAUAUUUGGGUUUCUGUGGAAAAUUCCAUUUAAUGUCUUCAAAUGGGGGAGAAAAAUAUUUGGGUUUCUGUGGAAAAUACCAUUUAAUGUCUUCAAAGGGGGGAGUUUGUGUGUUUAUAUAUAUAUAUAUUAAUAUAUAUAUAUUAAUAGUAUAUAUAUUAAUAAUAUAUAUAUAUUAAUAAUAAUACCAUUUAAUGUCUUCAAAUGGGGGAGAAAAAUAUUUGGGUUUCUGUGGAAAAUUCCAUUUAAUGUCUUCAAAGAGGGGAGUUUGUGUGUUUUUAUAUAUAUAUAUAUAUUAAUAGUAUAUAUAUUAAUAAUAUAUAUAUUAAUAAUAUAUAUAUAUUAAUAAUAAUACCAUUUAAUGUCUUCAAAUGGGGGGAAAAAUAUUUAGGUUUCUGUGGACAAUACCAUUUAAUGUCUUCAAAGGGGGAAGUUUGUGUGUUUUUAUAUAUAUAUAUUGAUAUAUAUAUAUAUAUUAAUAGUAUAUAUAUUAAUAAUAUAUAUAUAUUAAUAAUAAUACCAUUUAAUGUCUUCAAAUGGGGGAGAAAAAUAUUUGGGUGUCUGUGGAAAAUACCAUUUAAUGUCUUCAAAGGGGAGUUUGUGUGUUUUUAUAUAUAUAUAUUAAUAUAUAUAUAUUAAUAGUAUAUAUAUUAAUAAUAUAUAUAUAUUAAUAAUAAUACCAUUUAAUGUCUUCAAAUGGGGGGAAAAUAUUUGGGUUUCUGUGGAAAAUACCAUUUAAUGUCUUCAAAGGGGGGAGUUUGUGUGUUUUUAUAUAUAUAUAUUAAUAUAUAUAUAUUAAUAGUAUAUAUAUUAAUAAUAUAUAUAUAUUAAUAAUAAUACCAUUUAAUGUCUUCAAAUGGGGGAGAAAAAUAUUUGGGUUUCUGUGGACAAUUCCAUUUAAUGUCUUCAAAGAGGGGAGUUUGUGUGUUUUUAUAUAUAUAUAUUGAUAUAUAUAUAUAUAUAUUAAUAGUAUAUAUAUUAAUAAUAUAUAUAUAUUAAUUAAUUAUAUAUAUAUAUAUAUAUUAAUUAUAUGAACUGUCAAUUCAAUUGCUGCUCGUCUCCCUUUGACCCCCCAAAAAAUUCACACAUCCCCCCCCCGUUUUCUACCGAAU
rnacentral:lncRNA from 1 species